UACAGAGGGUGCAAGCGUUGUUCGGAAUUAUUGGGCGUAAAGCGCGUGUAGGCGGUCCUGCAAGUCGGAUGUGAAAGCCCUCGGCUUAACCGAGGAAGUGCGUUCGAUACUACAGAACUUGAGUACCGGAGAGGGUGGCGGAAUUCCCGGUGUAGAGGUGAAAUUCGUAGAUAUCGGGAGGAACACCAGUGGCGAAGGCGGCCACCUGGACGGCUACUGACGCUGAGACGCGAAAGCGUGGGGAGCAAACAGG
rnacentral:rRNA from 1 species